rnacentral:rRNA from 1 species
UACGGGGGGAGCAAGCGUUGUUCGGAUUUACUGGGCGUAAAGGGCGCGUAGGCGGCGCAACAAGUCACUUGUGAAAUCUCCGGGCUUAACCCGGAGCGGCCAAGUGAUACUGUCGUGCUAGAGUGCGGAAGGGGCUACUGGAAUUCUCGGUGUAGCGGUGAAAUGCGUAGAUAUCGAGAGGAACACCUGCGGCGAAGGCGGGUAGCUGGGCCGACACUGACGCUGAGAAGCGAAAGCAUGGGGAGCGAACAGG